GUUGGUGAAUAUAUGUCAAGGGAUACACCUGAUCCCAUCCCGAACUCAGAAGUUAAGUCUUGACAGCCGAUGAUACUGCUCAGCGGGAAAGUAGGUUAUUGCCAACU
rnacentral:rRNA from 1 species